UAAUUCGUAACAGAUUUCCUCAAGCUAAGGAUGUAUAUUUUCCUGCAGAAAACCAAUGCUUCUCCAGUCUAACACCGCAUCUUCCUUUGUAAUUAUAGAUUUCUUGAUGACGAGUGACUCAUAUGGACUGCCCUGAAAAUGGAAAUAUAUCAAGCAGAAGAAAAACCCUCAGAAAGUACAAACAAUCUCUCUCUAGCCCCUCCUGAUAUUCCUUCAACCUUGUUACUUUCAUAUCAGAUGGAGAUGCGGUGUUAGACUACUGGAGAUGCGCUGCUUUGUUGGAAAAUUGAAAAAAAAAACUUUUAUUUAAACCAGAAAGUUGUAAUUUUGUAAUAAAGGUUACCUGAACACUCGUCUAUAGCUUAUUGACAUCCUACAACAAACCUUGUACGGUAAUAGGAGCCUUUGGAAUAUAGUUGGGUUUGUUGUAAACAAAGUUGAUCGCU